GCCUAUAAAUAGAUGGCUAGCUAGGUCGCCUCUCAUCUCCUUAACCUUAUGGAAACCACUCCAUUCGACUGCUAGUUGCAGGAGAAGCAAUGAGAGGAAGACCUAGUUGAAUGUUCCACAUGUCUGAAACACGCUUUUGCAUUGAUAAACAAGAUGACUUAACAGACAUGCAGACAAGAGAGUCAUUUGUGCAGCAAAAAUUCUGACCAAAGGUGGAAAGAAGACAUUCCGUUCACUUGAAAUAUCAGAUCAUCGAAAGUGAGCAAGUUGAUCAUGCACAAGAAAUUUGCAGAAGGAAAUGGUGCCCAGUAUAAAAUGACCAAAGAAGCAGCAGUCCACUUGUAUAAUGGAAAAUGAGAAUGUGUCAGCGACAAUGGGGGCGAUGUCCGUUUGAGGCGAAAUCAUUUUUGGAACUUCAGCUUCGAGCUCAUUUAACUGUGAAAACGAUCCGUGAGUAAAAUAUGAGGAGGGAUGGCGUCUGUGCGUUCAUUGGCCUUUUUUCCGGAAGAUUGUUAAUGUAAGGUAAACUAUUUCAAGCGUCAAUUACCAUUGCGAAUAAGUUUUCAAUUUAUGUAUAUAAAUAUUCAUGAUAUUUCAUUUUUUUUUGUAAGUCACAUUUCUUGAAAAACCCGAUUAGUAUAUUUUAUUGUAUUCUAGCAUGCUGGGUAAGAAGCAUCAGGAUGCUAGAAAAUUGCAAAAGUGAAAAUAGAAAAUAAAGUAGUGUGCCACAUUCUGUAGACGUCGUUUGGGCUUAUAUAAAAAACCAUUGAAGCUUUUAGAGAAUGUGACAUCGACCUUGGAAUAGUUCUUUUUCACCGAUUGGUAAACCAUUUUCGUUUGUUCAUCCAACUAAGGCGUUAUCGAUUAUUUAUGAAUUCUGUAAUAGAAUUAAGAGUAGAUACGAAACUUGUUGCUACCCAAAGACUUAACGAUGUGAACUCUGAAAUGAAAAUUAGACUUGAUGAAGUGUUCAUCGUCUUACAUUGUUAUGUGUUUGUGCAACAAUAAGUUGUGUACCUUCACUUAAUUCUACUGCAGAAUUCAUUAAACGAUCGAUGGCCACAUUAGUAGUUCAUGAACAAAACGCAAACGGUUUACCAUUCGAUGAAGAAACAACUACUCCAAGACCGACGUUCCAUGCAUUCUUUAACAAGUUCACUAGCUUUCUCAUAUACGCCCAAAUGACAUCUAGAGAGUGCGGCACACGGAUCACCCUUUUUUCUUCUUUCUAUUUUCACUUUUACAAUUUUUUGGUGUCUUGUUGCUUUAUUACACUCCAUGCUAGAAUACAAUAAAAAUAUAUAAUAUAUUGAUCAAUUAAUUUCAAGAAAUGUGACUUACAAAAAAAUGAAAUAUCAUGAGUAUUUAAAUACCUAAAUUGAAAACUUAUUGACAAUGGCAAUUGAAUCUUGAAACAUUUUACCUUACAUUAACUACCUUACGGAAAAAGGCCGAAGUCUAAUUUUCAUUUCAGAGUUCAUAUUUCUUAGCCCUUCUCCUAUGCUUUUGAGCACAUGUCGAAUCAUAUUCAAAAUCUUUUCCAUGUCGAUCUCCAUGUAAAUAAGCCCAUAGUACGGACGGCUUAAGCACAAGAGUGGCCUAAAGCCAAAAAUGAAUCCAAGGCCUUAAAUUUUUAAUUUUAUUAGUCAAAGUCUAUUCUUCCCGUUUUUUAAAAUGUAAAGUUGUUAAUAUAUUUGAAACUAUUUUUGAGAUGCAAAAUUGUUUUUUUAAAUG